ACGUCAGGGAAAGGAUUCUGCUGUCGGUCCCACUCCAAAGUUCACAGAAUGGGUGGUGGCACAGAAUCCGGACUCUGCUUGUG
ensembl:miRNA MIR541 microRNA 541